rnacentral:ncRNA from 2 species
AAUUGAAUAUUGUAUCCAGGUGACCCCUGUGUUGAAUCUGCACGCGUAGAGUGCCAUCGGGGUAGAAUAGGGAAGAGGGUGAGAAUCCCUCACGGACCCGCCACUGUGAACGGUGACGAAAUCUGCACCUAAGCCACUAGUUCUUACUGGGAAGGCGUCAGAGAGUAGGAAGAACCGUAAGUCAGGAGACCUGCCUGGGUAUGCCUCACAUC